rnacentral:rRNA from 1 species
AACCGGAUUAGAUACCCUGGUAGUCCACGCCCUAAACGAUGUCUACUAGUUGUCGGGUCUUAAUUGACUUGGUAACGCAGCUAACGCGUGAAGUAGACCGCCUGGGGAGUACGGUCGCAAGAUUAAAACUCAAAGGAAUUGACGGGGACCCGCACAAGCGGUGGAUGAUGUGGAUUAAUUCGAUGCAACGCGAAAAACCUUACCUACCCUUGACAUGUACAGAAUCCCGAAGAGAUUUGGGAGUGUUCGAAAGAAAACUGUAACACAGGUGCUGCAUGGCUGUCGUCAGCUCGUGUCGUGAGAUGUUGGGUUAAGUCCCGCAACGAGCGCAACCCUUGUCAUUAGUUGCUACGAAAGGGCACUCUAAUGAGACUGCCGGUGACAAACCGGAGGAAGGUGGGGAUGACGUCAAGUCCUCAUGGCCCUUAUGGGUAGGGCUUCACACGUCAUACAAUGGUACAUACAGAGGGCCGCCAACCCGCGAGGGGGAGCUAAUCCCAGAAAGUGUAUCGUAGUCCGGAUUGUAGUCUGCAACUCGACUACAUGAAGUUGGAAUCGCUAGUAAUCGCGGAUCAGCAUGUCGCGGUGAAUACGUUCCCGGGUCUUGUACACACCGCCCGUCACACCAUGGGAGCGGGUUUUACCAGAAGUAGGUAGCCUAACCGUAAGGAGGGCGCUUACCACGGUAGGAUUCGUGACUGGGGUGAAGUCGUAACAAGGUAACCGUA